rnacentral:lncRNA from 1 species
GUAGAUGUCUAUUAGGUCCGCUUGGUGCAGAGCUGAGUUCAACUCCUUGAUAUCGUUGUUAACCUUCUGUCUUGUUGAUCUACCUAAUAUUGACCGUGGGGUGUUAAAGUCUCCCAUUAUUAUUGUGUGGGAGUCUAAGUCUCUUUGUAGGUCUCUAAGGUUCUCAUUCUUUCUUUUUCUUUUUUUCUCUUUCUUUUCUUUCUUUCUUUCCUUCUUUCUCCCUUUCUGCUUUUUUUCA